rnacentral:tRNA from 1 species
UUAAUUGAAACCAAAUAGAGGUAAAUUAUUGUUAAUAAUUUUAUUGAAAUAAAUUUCCAAUUAAA